UAUGAUGUAUACAUUCUUCAAAUUGUAUAAAAGAUCUAUUAAAGCUACUCAAAUUCUCAAACAAUGUGAAUGAGUUGUUAGCUCAAGCAAAGAUGGUUAGUUUCUUAGUGAUAUUUGGUUUAGGAUUCAUUUGCGGCUUUUUUUUCGCCACAGCAUGUGAGAGAAAUUAAGUUGAUAUCUCUGUUAUGAUUUCACUGUAAUAAUCCUGCCUCCAAAUAAUAAUAUUGUUUCGUUUUCUUUCUAACUCGCACUGACAUUCUCUACUAUUUCGUUGACAUUUCGCUUUGAAAAAAAUUCAAUUUCAAAGAAUUGGAAAAAAAUCCAAAUUCUGUCCGCAAAAUGCAAAACACGACCCAAAGAAAACUCUGCAUUUUCACCUUUGGUUUGUUUGUUGGUUAUAUUAUUUCGCCGAGGAGACGAUAAGAGGAAUAUUAAAUUUGCGAGAGUGUAAUAUAUAAUAUUUAAAAUAACAACUGAUUUCAGAAGUGCUGCUGGUUUCUUGUUUCAUUGAACUCUAAUCAAAACAUACAACUAAAGCCAUUUGUACUUACGGAGUUGGCCAAACAAUAUUCUCCCAAAAAAUUAAAGUCAAGUUACGAUUGUUAACGGAGAAACCGCUUUGGAAUGACCGAACCGUUGAUCACUUUUUGCUUGGGCACUUUGGCUGGCAUAAUAUUGGUUAAUAUUCUACAAGGAAAUCGCUUGGAAGGAAACAGAAUGCUUGCUGAUCGACUGAUAAUAUUUAUAUUUGGUGUUGCCAUUGGCUACUUCGUUGUGCCGAAAUUGUAAUUUCCAUGUGCAGCUAAAUUCAAAAAUGUAAUCGAUUAUAAAAACAACAACAAUAAGAUAAAAUUGUUUUAUUGUAUAAUUUGAAAAAUAUUUGAGUUUGUGGUAAUAAUAUUUAGGACAGCAAUUGAAAUGCUCCCAGUCGUUAAGGAUGGAAAAUAAAUGCUGAACUUAACGUUUUCAAAUUUGA